AUGUCACACAGAUUCUCAUAUAAAGUAAUUCCAUUACCAUAUAAUGAGGAAGAACUGUAUUAUAUACUAAAAUUUCUUUCUAUUGUCCUUCUUUUAUUAUAUUUAUUUAUUUUUUUUUUAAUUUUUUAUUUAUUUAUUUAUGAUAGUGACAGAGAGAGAGACGCAGAGACACAGGCAGAGGGAGAAGCAGGCUCCAUGCACUCGGAGCCUGACGUGGGACUCGAUCCCGGGUCUCCAGGAUCGCGCCCUGGGCCAAAGGCAGGCGCCAAACCGCUGCGCCACCCAGGGAUCCCUCGAUUCAAUUAUUUUCGAUUUGAUUUGAUUUUUCUCAUUUCGAUUUGAUUAUUGUCAAUUCGGUUUGAUUAUUUCGAUUCGAUUUGAUAUUAUUCGAUUCAAUUCAAUUUGUUUCUUUUCGAUUCGAUUAUUUUCAUUUCGAUUCGAUUAUUUUCAUUUCGAUUUGACUUUUCUCCUUUCGAUUCGAUUAUUUUCGUUUCUAUUUGUUUAUUUUUGAUUCGAUUCGAUUAAUUUCGAUUCAAUUUGGUUAUUUUCCAUUCGAUUUGAUUUUUUUCGCUUCUACAUGAUUUUUUUCGUUUCGAUUCGUUUAUUUUCGUUUCAAUUCUAUUUUUUCAAUUCGAUUCGAUUCGAUUUUUUCGAUUUGAUGCUAUUUGAUCGAUUUUUUUCUUUUCGAUUCGAUUAUUUUCGUUUUGAUUCGAUUCUUUUCAUUUGGAUUCGAUUAUUUUCGUUUCAAUUCAAGUAUUUUCGAUUCGAUUAGAUUAUUUUCAUUUCUUUAGAUUAUUUUCGAUUCGAUUUGAUUAUUUUCGUUUCUAUUUGAUUAUUUUCGUUUCGAUUUAUUUUUGAUACGAUUUGAUUAUUUUCGAUUCGUUUCGAUUUUUUUCACUUCUACUUGAUUUCUUUUCGUUUCGAUUCAUUUAUUUUCGUUUCGAUUGAUUAUUUUCGUUUCGAUUUGUUUAUUUUCUAUUAUAUUUGAUUUUAUUCUAUUCAAUUCAAUUCGUUUCUUUUCAAUUCGAAUUUUUUCAAUUCGAAUAGAUUAUUUUCAUUUCGAUUUGUGUAUUUUUGAUUCGAUUCGAUUAUUUUUGAUUCGAUUUGAUUUCUCUCGUUUCAAUUUGAUUAAUUUUGAUUCGAUUUGAUUUUUUUCGAUUCGAUUCAAUUCGUUUCUUUUCGAUUUGAUUAUUUUCGUUUCGAUUCGAUUAUUUUCAUUUCGAUUUGACUUUUGUCGUUUCGAUUUGAUUAUUUUUGUUUCUAUUUGAUUAUUUUCGUUUCGAUUUUUUUCCAAUUCGAUUUGAUUAUUUUCGAUUCGAUUUGAUAUUAUUCGAUUCAAUUC
rnacentral:lncRNA from 1 species